GCGCGAAAACUUUGCAAUGCGGGAAACCGUGACAAGGGAACCCCGAGUGCCCGCACCAGGAGAAAGGGCCGGGCAAGACCGGUGCCAGCCGCCGCGGUAAUACCGGCGGCUCGAGUGGUGGCCACUAUUACUGGGCUUAAAGCGUUCGUAGCUGGACUGUUAAGUCUCUUGGGAAAUCUACCGGCUUAACCGAUAGGCUUCAAGAGAUACUGGCAAUCUAGGGACCGGGAGAGGUGAGGGGUACUCCAGGGGUAGGAGUGAAAUCCUGUAAUCCUUGGGGGACCACCUGUGGCGAAGGCGCCUCACCAGAACGGCUCCGACAGUGAGGGACGAAAGCUGGGGGAGCAAACCGGAUUAGAUACCCGGGUAGUCCCAGCUGUAAACGAUGCGCGUUAGGUGUAUCGGUGACCACGAGUCACCGAGGUGCCGAAGAGAAAUCGUGAAACGUGCCGCCUGGGAAGUACGGUCGCAAGGCUGAAACUUAAAGGAAUUGGCGGGGGAGCACACAACGGGUGGAGCCUGCGGUUUAAUCGGACUCAACGCCGGAAAGCUCACCGGAUAAGACAGAGAAUGAUAGCCGGGCUGAAGACUCUGCUUGACUAGCUGAGAAGUAGUGCAUGGCC
rnacentral:rRNA from 1 species